rnacentral:misc_RNA from 1 species
AUUAAGAUUGAAAUUAGCAGUCCUUUUGCCCGAGAUCGGUCCACCAAUUAUACUGGUAGACCGAUUCGAGAUCAGCACGAUCGUCACUUUCGAUCUUUAUCGGUAAAUUAGUCCGAUUCCCUCACUGUCAUCAGAUAAUGUCCUCAUGGUUCUCCGAUCGCCGGGGUUAUAAAUUUUCAGGCGAAGGGCGAAGAAAAUAGUCUGGAAAAGAUCAAAAG